rnacentral:lncRNA from 1 species
GUCAGCCAUUAACUGUGCAGGGAGUCCCAGCUUGAGCCUUAGCCUGGCUUAGACAUGUCUGAGCAAGCCUGAAGAACUGCAAUGUAGACCUGCUAGCAACCUAUGUGUGCCUGAGAUAGUAGAGCCUCCUGGGAAGGAUGAAAGAAUCAGGCACAACCUAGGUAACUUAGAUGUUGCUUGUAUCAGGAAAGGAGCCACAGAACACUGUUUGACUAAGGAAACAGGCUUAAGGAGCAUGAGUAACUCGCCCAAGGCCAUGUAACUACCUCAGCGGCAAGGCUGGGCCCUGGCCUCAGCAACCACCCUGUGUCUCACCUUCGUCAUCGAGAAGUACUGAAGUCCAAGUUGCCACAGGGGUUAGGGGAGAAUGAACAAACCAGUCUAAAUUCCAGUUCUUCAGGAUUUUUUUCUUGCUACUUUAACAGAAUGCCUGAUGCUGGAUAGUUAUAUAAAUUAAAAGGCCAUUUGUCUGUCAGUGCUGAAGUGGGGAAGUCCAGGGUUAUGCCAGUGGUAAAUGUGACAGUCACCUCAGACUCGAAGGCAAAAAUACAAUCAUGGGCGAGAAAAUC